UUUACUACAAAUGAGAUGACGGUUUCCUUUAAUGAAUGCAGUGCUAACAACAGAUUCAAGAGGUCGGUUCCUGUCUCUGUAAAACCGAAUCGGAGCCAUUGGUCUUUGUACAAACCACACAAUAACAGUGCUGAGGUCUUGUACUAAUGUUCCCAGCUGAAGGAGGGAGGAACCAGCGGAAGGAUGAAGAGAAGGGGAGCUGUGCACGAACUCCUUCCAGCAUGUGACACGCAGCGAGCAGCGCACCAAGCUGUGCUAAUGGGGAGGAUGUAGUCCUCCCUAACCCUGAUACAAAUCCACCCCUGCAGUUCCUGCGUUGGUUCCGACAUACGUCAUUAGGUCUUUCUUUGAUCACAACCUGUUAUUAAUGUGAAAGGCUUAAUAAAUUCCCUAGGAUGUAUUUCUAGCUGCAGUGUUUUUAAGACAUACUGAGUGCAGGGCAAAGACAGGC